AUGGCGUCCUCCUCCUCCGCCGCGGCGUCCGCGGCGGCGCUCGAGGCCGUGCAGGUCCUCGUCGCCUCCCUCGCCGACGACUCCCCGCGCGCCCGCGACUCCGCCCUCGCCGCGCUCCGCGAGAUCGCGCCGCUGAACCCGCUGCUCGUCCUCGACUGCUGCGCCACCGUCUCCCGGGGCGGCCACCGGCGCUUUGGCAACAUGGCCGGGGUUUUCCUCGUAAUGGCCUCCGCCGUCAGGGCUCUCGACCGCCUGGAUGCUGAGCGCGAGUUCCUCCGGAAAAUCGCCAAGAUUGCCACCGCCGAGAUUGUUAGCUCAAAGGACUUCAAUGUUGAUUGGCAAAGAGCGGCAGCUACUCUUCUUGUUGCCAUUGGGUCACAUGACCCAGAUUUGAUGAUGGAGGAGAUAUUUCUUUACUUCUCUGGACCAACUUCUGCUUUGCCAGCCAUGUUACAGAUACUUGCAGACUUUGCAUCUGCUGAAGCCCUGCAGUUCACUCCACGAUUGAAGGAUGUACUUUUGCGCGUUUUACCUAUCCUAGGAAGUGUACGAGACGGCCAACGACCUGUUUUUGCAAAUGCAUUAAAGUGUUGGUGCCAGGCUGCAUGGGUGUAUAUAGGAGACACCUCUUCAGGGCUUCCUUUCGAUGACGAUGUUAUGUCCUUCAUGAAUUCAGUAUUUGAAUUACUUCUAAAAGUAUGGACGGGCUCCCGUGAUCUGAAGGUCCGUUUGUCUUCUGUGGAGGCUUUGGGAGAAAUGGUCGGCCUGGUCACUAGGUCACAGUUAAAAUCAGCUCUGCCAAGGAUUAUACCAACAAUGUUGGACCUAUGUAAGAAAGAUCAAGAAGUGGCUUUUACCGCGGCUCACAGUCUUCAUAACCUUCUUAAUGCAUCGUUACUGUCAGAAAGUGCCCCCCCUUUACUUGAGUUUGAGGAGCUAGCUGUUGUCUUAAUUACUCUUCUUCCUUUAGUAUCUGUCAACAUCAGCAAAGAUGAACGCUCAUAUAUUUCAAAGGGAUUGAAGACAUACAAUGAACUCCAGCACUGUUUCUUGGUAACUGGAUUAGCAUAUCCCGAGGAUCUGUGCAUGUUCCUCCUGAGUAAAUGUAGGUCAAAAGAUGAAGCAUCAAUUGUUGGGGCACUUGGAACAAUAAAACAUCUAUUGCCCAGGUUGUUGGAAUCAUGGCAUACUAAGCAAACAUUGUUGGUUGAGAUAGUCAAAUCACUUCUAGAGGAGCAGAGCUUGGGUAUUCGAAUGGCACUAGCUGAGCUAAUUGUCGUUAUGGCUUCACAUUGCUACUUGAGUGGGCAUUCUGCUGAGCUCGCAGUUGAGUUUUUGGUGCGGCAUAGUGCUAUAACCGACGAUGAUCUAAAUGAUAUCAACACUCUGAAAAAUGAGUACUUCCAGGAUAAAAGAUUUGAGAUGAAAAUAAGUCUUGCUGGUCUAUCUGAACUAAGAGCUGUAUGUGAAAAGGGUCUACUUUUACUAGCAAUUACCAUUCCUGAAAUGGAGCUUGUUCUAUGGCCAUUUCUCUUGCAGCUGAUUAUCCCAAAGAAUUAUACAGGUGCAGUAGCUACGGUCUGCAAAUGCAUAACUGAAUUGUGUAGGCGUAAAUUGUCGCAGACAAAUCCACUGUAUACUGAGUUUAAUGCCUCAAAUGAAAUGCCCAGUCCCGAGGAUCUGUUUGCUCGUUUGCUGGUGCUUCUGCAUAAUCCACUUGCUAGGGGGCAACUCGCUACCCAGAUCCUGACGGUGAUGUGCUACUUGGGUCAACUUUUCCCAAGAAACCUUUCUUUAUUUUGGGAAGAUGAGGUCCCUAAGAUGAAAGCUUACAUCAGUGAUCCUGAAGAUCUUAAGCAAGAUAGCACCUACCAGGAAAUAUGGGAUGACAUGAUCAUCAAUUUUUUAGCUGAAUCCUUGGAUGUUGUGAAUGAUAAUGUGUGGGUCAUAUCCUUGGGCGAUGCAUUUGCUAGACAAUAUGAUCUCUAUGCUACAUCUGAUGGGCAUUCAGCUUUGCUGCACAGAUGUUUAGGAAUGCUUCUUCAGAAGGUUGAUGAUAGGAUUUAUGUCCGUGAAAAGAUUGAUUGGAUGUGUAGACAGUCAAGUAUGUCUAUUCCUGUUAAUCGCCUUGGACUUGCCCAAGGCAUUGGUUUGGUUGCAGCUUCUCAUUUGGACACAGUUUUGGAGAAGCUGAAGAACAUAUUAGAAAAUGCAGGGCAAAGUGCUCUCCAGAGGUUCCUCUCAUUUUUCUCGUUUAGAGAAAAAGUGGAGGAUGUUGAUGAUACGUACGCAGCUCUGGCUUUGAUGUAUGGUUAUGCUGCAAGAUAUGCCCCAUCAACAGUUAUUGAAGCCAGAAUCAAUGCACUUGUGGGGACUGAUAUGCUUGGAAGAUUCCUUCAUGUUCAACAUCCUACUGCAAAGCAAGCUGUCAUUACUGCAAUUGACCUUUUAGGCCGGGCUGUUAUUAGUGCUGCUGAAAUAGGAAUUUCGUUCCCACUGCAACGAAGAGAUCAAUUGCUGGAGUAUGUGCUAACUCUAAUGGGAAGGGAUCAAAGUGAUGAUCUCGUUGAUUUCAGCAUUGAGCUUCUUCAAACACAAACUGUUGCUUUGAGUGCUUGUACUACUCUGGUUUCAAUAGAGCCAAGGUUACCUAUGGAAACAAGAAAUCGUGUCAUGAAGGCAACCUUAGGUUUUUUUGCUUUGCCAACUGAGCCCUCAAACAUCGUUGAGAGCCUGAUAACAAACCUAAUUAUUCUGUUAGGUGCCAUUCUGCUAACCAGUGGUGAAGAUGGCCGAAGCAGAGCAGAGCAGCUGUUGCAUAUUCUUAGACAACUCGAUCCAUAUGUUUCAGCAUCUGCAGAACACCAGAGAAGAAGGGGAUGUGUUGCUGUACAUGAGGUGUUAGUAAAGUUUCGCAAUCUUUGUUCUGGUGGAUUUGGUGCAUCGGGCUCCUAUCCAACUUUGAGCCUAAAGCACAUUGAUCAGGGAGGGCCUAGGGGCUCGUCAAGUUUGCCAUCUGCAUUUGUGUUGCCGAAUCGAGAUUCAUUAAGCUUGGGCGAGAGAAUAAUGGCAUAUCUACCUCGUUGUGCUGAUACAGAUGAUGAAGUUAGGAAAGUUGCGAUUCAGAUUAUUGCCCUUUUCUUCAAUAUAUCACUUUCACUUCCAAAGCAGAAGACAUCUGCUAAUGACAUCGAUCUAGAAUCUUCAUACGGUGCUUUGUCUUCCCUAGAGGACAUAGUCUCCAUCAUCAGAAGGGCAUCUGUUGAUCAGAUCGAAGUAUUUCAUAGAGUUGUCUCCUCUGUGUGUACUCUACUAUCUAAGGACGAGCUGGUUGUCUUGCUACACUCUUGCACGUUAGCGGCAUGUGAUAAAGUGAAGCAAUCAGCAGAUGGUUCCAUUCAAGCUAUUAUAGUAUUUAUUAUCAGAAGAGGCAAGGAUCUACGUGAAGCUGAUGUACUGAGGGCAACACAAUCUCUGCUCUCAUCAGCUAUUGCUCUUACCGACAAGCACUCGCGCCAUGAAGUUCUCAAUGCAAUAUCAUGCUUAGCAGAAAAUACCAACCACAUUGUGGUCUUUGAUGAAGUUCUAUUUGUGGCUGGGCGAGAUAUUUGUACAAAGGACAUAACAAGAAUUCGUGGUGGUUGGGCUAUACAAGAUGUUUUUUAUGUUUUCUCCCAGCAUAAGGUGCUGGCUACUCUUUUUCUGGAGUACAUUUUAUCUAUACUUCACAAAGAACCUGUUGCAACAAAUGAUUCAGAAAAAGGGGAAAUUAACUCAGAGUCAUCAGCUGAUGACUGUAUUCUACAAGCAACUAUGUUCGCUCUCAAUGCGUUCCUGAGAGGUGGUGGGAAGGUCGGGAAACAAGCAGUUGAGCAAAGCUACCCUUCUGUCCUUUCUGCACUUAUACUGAAGCUGGGAGGUCUUCACGGUCUUGCUGAAUUAGGCCGCAAUGAGCUUCUACGAUCGUUGUUAAUUGCAUUCCAGUCAUUCUGUGAUUGUGUUGGCGAUGUUGAGAUGGGAAAGAUAUUAGCUCGAGAUGGAGAACGAACUGAGAAGGAGAAGUGGAUUGAUCUUGUGCAAGAGGUUGCAUGCAGUUCCUCAGUAAAGAGGCCCAAUGAGGUUCUGCCAACCUGCGUUAUCUUGAGCAAAUCUCUUGACAGGAAUCAGAGGGCUGAAAGGGAGGCUGCUGCUGCUGCACUAUCAGAAUUUAUUCGCCACAGUGAAAAAGAACCUGCAUUGCUUGAACAAAUGGUUGAGGAAUUGUGUCAACAUGUAACUGACGACUCACCGACUGUCAGGAGUCUCUGCUUGCGAGGACUUGUACAGAUACCUGAGAGCCACAUACUUAAUUACAUCCAGCAAGUCCUAGGAGUAAUAUUAGCAUUACUUGAAGAUGCCACCGAAUCUGUUCAACUCACUGCUGUUCAGUGCCUGUUAACCGUUCUUAAUGUGUCAGAACAAGAUGCAGUGGAUCCCAUUUUAAUAAGUCUCUUAGUAAGGCUAAGGAAUCUCCAGAUCUCCAUGAAUACAAAAAUGAGGUCCAAUGCCUUUGCAGCUUAUGGUGCUCUAAGUGCCUAUGGUGCUGGUUCACAGCAUCAUGCUUUUCUUGAGCAGAUACAUGCCACUCUUCCGCGUUUGAUCCUCCAUCUUCAUGAUAAUGACCUUAGCGUUCGCCUUGCCUGUCGGAACACAUUCCAGCUCCUAGCGCCUUUGAUGGAAGUAGAUGGCUUGUCUUCACUCCUCAACAAGCAAUAUUUCACAUCUGAUCGGCGAUCUGAUUACGAGGACUUCAUUAGGGACUUAACAAGACAACUUUGUCGACUAUCUCCCGUCAGAGUUGACAGCUACCUAGAAUCUGCUAUCCAGGCAUUUGAUGCACCUUGGCCGGUCAUUCAAGCAAAUGCAGUUUGCUUAGUUAGUUGCAUGCUAUCCUUUUUGGACGAUCAACGCUUCCUUGCUCCUUACUUCUCCCAGGUGUUCGCUAUGUUGGUUGGCAGAAUGAGCCAAUCACCAGAGGCCGUUGUUCGAGCAGCAGCAUCUUCUGCCUUGGGCCUCCUGAUAAAGAGGUCUAACAUGCUCAAGUCAUUGAGUUCACGGUUUGAUCGAACAGAUCCAUCACAGAAUUCUCAACAUGGAGAGCCUCACGCUAAAACAUCGUCUGAGCUUCAAGAAGAGGCUGCAGCAAAGCCAAAUGGCGCGCAAGGAGAGCAAUAG
rnacentral:rRNA from 1 species